rnacentral:rRNA from 1 species
UACGGAGGGAGCUAGCGUUGUUCGGAAUUACUGGGCGUAAAGCGCACGUAGGUGGCUUUGUAAGUUAGAGGUGAAAGCCCGGGGCUCAACCCCGGAAUUGCCUUUAAGACUGCAUCGCUUGAAUCCGGGAGAGGUGAGUGGAAUUCCGAGUGUAGAGGUGAAAUUCGUAGAUAUUCGGAAGAACACCAGUGGCGAAGGCGACACACUGGCCCGUUACUGACGCUGAGGCGCGAAAGCUAGGGGAGCAAACGGG